UACGUAGGGUGCGAGCGUUAAUCGGAAUUACUGGGCGUAAAGGGCGCGUAGGCGGCCUGUUAAGUCGAACGUGAAAUCCCCGGGCUCAACCCGGGAACUGCGUCCGAUACUGGCAGGCUUGAAUCCGGGAGAGGGAUGCGGAAUUCCAGGUGUAGCGGUAGAAAUGCGUAGAUAUCUGGAGGAACACCGGUGGCGAAGGCGGCAUCCUGGACCGGCAUUGACGCUGAGGCGCGAAAGCCAGGGGAGCAAAGCGGG
rnacentral:rRNA from 1 species